CGCUGAGUUUGAUCCUGGCUCAGAUUGAACGCUGGCGGAAUGCUUUACACAUGCAAGUCGAACGGUAGAGGGGGCAACCCCUUGAGAGUGGCGAACGGGUGAGUAAUAUAUCGGAACGUGCCCAGUCGUGGGGGAUAACGUAGUGACAAUUACGGCUAAUACCGCAUACGAUCUAAGGAUGAAAGCGGGGGAUCGCAAGACCUCGGCGCGAUUGGAGCGGCCGAUAUCAGAUUAGGUAGUUGGUGGGGUAAAGGCCCACCGAAGCCUGCGAUCUGUAGCUGGUCUGAG
rnacentral:rRNA from 1 species